ACAGAAUGUGUCUGUAUCACUUCCCAGUCAGCAGCAUUCACAAAAUGAGCUAUACAUUGGGAUUGGUUUAUCUGUGGUACUUCUAGCCAUCCUGAUUUUGGCUCUGUUCCUCACUAGACAGUAUUUAUUCAGCACAAAGAAGACGGGUGACUUUUCAAACUUUGUUGCAUUUUGGAGGCCAGAAGGUGCAGGGAACCACAGUGCACUGGAAGAUGAUGUCCAUGCAGAGGAAAACGUUUAUAUAGUGCACUAAGGACUGUAUGCAUGCUUGCCUUGGUCGGCGCUGGGACAUCAAAUGGCUUGCACAGUGUUAGCUGCUCCCUCUACUCAGCAGCUAAAUGUGACUGGACUAUUGAAGCAUUAUUCACAUCAUUCUGAUAAAACAAAUAAAAGCUACACUUCUAAUUAAAAUCUUUUAUCAGCCUCUUCCAGGAACAGAAGCCCUACUGGCUUGAAUGGAAAUUUCCAGAAUCCACUUAUCAAAAC
rnacentral:lncRNA from 1 species